ensembl:snRNA U6 U6 spliceosomal RNA
GGGCUCGCUUCCACAGCACAUAUACUAAAAUUGGAAUGAUACAUAGAUUAGCAUGGCCCCUGUGCAAGGAUGACAUGCAGAUUCGUGAAGUGUUCCUUAUUUUU